rnacentral:lncRNA from 1 species
GAAGAAGUCUGCAACAUAGAGCACUUCAAUUUUUGAAAUUCGUCAUCAGUCACAAUUAUUUCAAAACGGCAAGAUAUGUUGAGCAAAAUUCCCCCAAAUAUAAAUAUCGAGUAACCCGCAUGAGGCUUUUUAAACAUGCACAAAGCACUUAACACAAAAUCUGCUACAAGUGCUCCAAUAAUACCUUCACCCAGGCAGCCAGUCCCCCGCACAGGGGAUCUGCAAGCCCCUUCACUGUUAGAAGGCGAAAGGCACGGAAAACAAAGAUUUCAACCAAAUAUGGUUUGCCUCUCGUCGAGUUUUCAGCAAGACCCUGUAAAAAUAAGUUCACAAAAAACCAGCCAAGCAUUACUUUUCUCCCAAAGUGCUUCUUGGAUUAUAAAACAGCUUUGAAAGUUCAGCCUGACAAAACAAAUAUGGUACUAGGAGAGCCCUGGAAGGCAACCACAAAAAGUCUCAUUUAAAUUCCUGGAAAGCAGGGCUUCCCCAAAUACAGCUCUAGCUUUGGAAGGCACCACUUGCUGCGAGCCACAAGUUUAACUUCGCUCCGUGCCCCAGCGCCGUCAAAUCCGAAAGAGACGGAUAUAGACGCUGCUUAUCCAAAAGAAUGCAUCGCGGAUCUUCUCUGCACGGUGAAAAGUACAACUUAAAAAGCAAGAGUUUCCCUCGUGCGAAUGCGUAGGAAUGAACACCGGGGACGUGGGAUGCGAAGGAUCCCUUCUGUCCCUAAACAUCACAGCUACAGCGAACCGGAGAUCAAGGGAACACACUUUAGGCUUUAAGAAGUGCAGUUCUGCAUGGCGGUGGGGUCGAGGAAGGCAGUUAAAAGCCCCGAUGCCCUCCCAAAGCCAAAUUAAAUAGAAUAAAAGAUCGCCGUUGUAGUGACCGAACGGCGGGAGCACAACGGCGUCCACCGGUCCCCAAAGCGCAAGCCCUGGGUUCGCUCACCCUCCCGAAGAACGCCUUGCCUCUCGCCCAAGCCCUCGGCGUCCGCCCGUCCGCAAGCCCGGGUGCCGCUCGCCAGCCCAAGUCCCUGCGGAGCGGCGCCCCGGCUGCAGCGGCCCGAGGCCCCCCGCCGCCCGCCGCCCGCCGCCCGAGCAGCGCGGCCGCCGGACCCACCUUCCCGCGAGGCGCGGCGUCCGACCCCGGGACUCGGCGCUGCCCGGGCGCGCGGCGCUGGAGGCGGAGGCGGGGGCGGGGGCGGGGGCGUGCCUGUCACGCCGACUCCCCGGCAGCCGCUCGGGCGCGCGCGCCACGCGCUCCCACCGCCUUGGCUGCCCGCGGAGCCAGGACCCGGGGCCGGGGCGCCCGACGCGCGCCGCGCAACUUGGGGGCUGCGGGGGCCGAGCGCGGCUCAGAGCCUCUGCGCGCGGCCGCCCCCGCCCCGCCCCGCCCCGCCCCGCGCAGCCACCUCCCCGCGCCGCCUCCCGAGCCCCCGGCGGCCCGCGCCCGCGUCCCGGGAGGCCUGCGGGAUCGCCUCCCCCGGGCCGGAGCCUCGGCGCCGGGCGGCAGCUGCAGGCGCGGCGGGGGGCUCGGCCUCGGGGCGGCGCGGCGCUGCGCUCAGCUCCGCGCCGCGCGCCUCAUUGUUCCCGGCAGCGGCGGCGGCGGCGGCGGCGCGGGCGGCGGGGGGAGCGGCGGCCCGGAGCCCCGGGGAGAGGCGGCGGCUCCCGGCCCCCCGGCCCCCGGCCCCGCGGCCCCCGCGCCCAGCUCCCGCCGCGCCCCGCCCCCGGGCCCCGCGCCUCCCCUGUGCGCGCCCCGGGCCCUCCUCCCUCCGCCGGCGCCUCGGUCCUCCGCCUUCCCGGCCUUGGCUCACCUAGCGGCCGGGCGCCGGGCGCUGGGAAGUUGCACAGUCCGCUCCCCGCGCCCCCGACCCGCCGGGCGGGGUGCACGGCGGGGCGCUCCCCGGCUCGGCGCGGAUCCGUGCCCCCGGCGGAGAGCGACUGCAGACUCGGGCGGCGUGGGGCGCGCGGGCGGCGCGGCUGCCUAAAAAGGCUUGCCUCUCCCGGCCGUCGCCUGCAGCCAGCCCUCGCCCCUCCGAGGGUGACCUGCACCGGCCCCGCGCGGGGCAGCCGGCGGGCACCGGGGGCGCGGGGGCGGCAGGGAUGCAGGAGUGCGGACGCGCGGCGAGCGGCGGGCAGAGGAGUCCGGGCGCCCGGCUCCGCGGAAGUCUUGGAUAUUGCUGUAUGAAGAGGAGAUGCUCAGACCUUUUCCAUCUGCCUUGCAGUCAUGAGGAGACAACUAUUGUAAAUGGUAUUGUGUUUCUAAUUUUCAAUUUCAAUAAUUUAUUGUUGGUAUAUAAACAAUUGACUUUUGUAUAUUAACUUCAUAUCUUGAAAUUUUUCUAUAAUCACUUAUUAGUUCCAGGAGUUUUUUUUGUUGGUUCUUGGGGAUUUUACAAAAACAAUCAUGUUGUCUGUCCACAAAGCUUAUUUAUUCCUUCUCAAUCUGUGUAUCUUUUCUUUUUUUUAGCUGAUUGCAUUAGCUAGGACUUUCAGUAGGAAGUGGUAGAAAGGGAUAUCCUUACCUCACUCCUGAUCUUUAGGGGAAAGUUUCUCACCAC